AUGGUUGUAUCAAGAAUGGAGAUACGGUUCAUGCCAUUGUUAUACGGGUUGCCAUGUCCUAAAAGAAUAUCCUAAGGGAUGUUAUUGCCUAUAAUGUCCUUAUCCAUGGAUUAUGUUUGACCCAAGACAUGAAACUUGCAUAUAUCUAUUCUUGUGAAAUGAUGAAAAGGGGCUUACUUCCUGAUGUCUUUACGUAUGAAAACUGUAUAAGGCUUUUUAUAUCCUUGAUGUAAUGUUGAGAAUGGGAGU
rnacentral:misc_RNA from 1 species